CAGUCGCCGCGGUAAUACGGAGGGCGCGAGCGUUACCCGGAUUUACUGGGCGUAAAGGGCGUGUAGGCGGCCUGGGGCGUCCCAUGUGAAAGGCCACGGCUCAACCGUGGAGGAGCGUGGGAUACGCUCAGGCUAGAGGGUGGGAGAGGGUGGUGGAAUUCCCGGAGUAGCGGUGAAAUGCGCAGAUACCGGGAGGAACGCCGAUGGCGAAGGCAGCCACCUGGUCCACUUCUGACGCUGAGGCACGAAAGCGUGGGGAGCAAACCGGAUUAGAGACCCCAGUAGUCCCUGUCUCUUAUAA
rnacentral:rRNA from 1 species